CUCACGUCAACACACACACGCUGGUAGGCGCUCCCUCAUUCCCUGCCCUUCCAAAACACCCGUCUAAGACCAUGAAGAAGGUACUGUUACUGCCCCGCCUGCCCCGGGGGAAUGUCUUCCCCUUCCUCCUGCUGCUGGUGGUAUUCCUGAGCCAGGCAAAGGAUGUGGACGCCUCGCAUACCCCGAGCUGCACCGACGCUGACACAGUGCUGGGAAAAGGGGACGUUCAGAUCACAGCCAACGAAACAAAAGUGCAGUUCUCGGAACAUGGAAGCUAUUUAUCAAGGACCGUGUACCUGUGGCCUGAGGAAGGCUUUAGGGGCAUAGGUAUGCACGUUGACACAAGCAAUGUGUCAGGGCAGGAGAGGGUGGCCGCAUGGUUCUCCAGGGACAGCCUGUUUACUGCCGUCAACACUACCAGCUGGUGGGCAUUGUUUGUAAGUGUGCAUCGGUACAGUGACAAAAUUAAGUUCGCUGUAAUUAUUGGUGAUAGUGGGACGGAGUGUGUCACACGGAUCACUGUUGGCAAUCCACGGAGUCUAGCAGUGGUGGGUUACGGUCCCUCAGGAUGGAGGGCCACGAAACCACCAUCUAGCUGUCCUUGUCAAGAACAUGCCCAAUCAGUGCCUUCGCCACAAACCAAACCCACCUGCACGGCGACCUCACCCACUCCCGGAGUAAAAUCAACAAUGACAGGUGUAGUGGUUGCAGUGGUGGCUGUGGUGGCUGUAGUGGUGGUGGUGGUGAUGAUGCAAUGCAGGAAACAACGUCGCUCAGAGGAUGAAAACACCUCGCCAAGACCAUGCCCGACUGCCCGGAAUGACCACCAGGAGACGAUCACCACAGACAACAGCCUGUACGGAGUUCUUUGAACCCUGCAGGCCACAUGAGCACCCACUGAGAGGAUCCAUGGAAUUGACAACAGCCUGUCCGAGCCCUUUGAAGCCUUCAGGAACGGGGCACUGAGGUAAACAACGCACGUUAUGGAGGAGAGGCUCUACGAGACCUUUGCAGGCUGCAAUAGCGGCCACAGCGAUGAGGACACACACACACACUGAGUGUCCAGCUUAACGUGCUCUGCCGCCUCUGCCAGUCAGUGAAAACCAUCUCACAAACUGGUUCCGUCUCUCAUGAGAGUCGGCAGAUCUGCCAGUCAGGGAAAACUUUUUGUAGUUAUGUUUGACUGGCCACACGACUAAAUGCCACUCAGUGAACACAGCCACCAAGUUCUCUGUUCUCUGUCUACACACACACUCUGUCAGUCAGGUUACACAGCCACCACAGCAGUAACUAUUCACUGCCUACACACACACUCUGUCAGUCAGGUAACACAGCCACCACAGCAGUAACUGUUCACUGCCUACACACACACUCUGUCAGUCAGGUAACACAGCCACCACAGCAGUAACUGUUCACUGCCUACACACACACUCUGUCAGUCAGGUAACACAGCCACCACAGCAGUAACUGUUCACUGCCUACACACACACUCUGUCAGUCAGGUAACACAGCCACCACAGCAGUAACUGUUCACUGCCUACACACACACACUCUGUCAGUCAGGUAACACAGCCACCACGGCAGUAACUGUUCACUGCCUACACACACACUCUGCCAGUCAGGUAACACAGCCACCACAGCAGUAACUGUUCACUGCCUACACACACACUCUGUCAGUCAGGUAACACACCCACCACAGCAGUAACUGUUCACUGCCUACACACACACUCUGUCAGUCAGGUAACACAGCCACCACAGCAGUAACUGUUCACUGCCUACACACACACUCUGUCAGUCAGGUAACACAGCCACCACAGCAGUAACUGUUCACUGCCUACACACACACUCUGUCAGUCAGGUAACACAUCCACCACAGCAGUAACUGUUCUCUGCCUACACACACGCUCUGUCAAUCAGGUAACACAGCCACCACAGCAGUGACUGUUCUCUGCCUACACACACUGUCAGUCAGGUAACACAGCCAGCACAGCAGUAACUGUUCACUGCCUACACACACACUCUGUCAGUCAGGUAACACAGCCACCACAGCAGUAACUGUUCACUGCCUACACACACACUCUGCCAGUCAGGUAACACAGCCACCACAGCAGUAACUGUUCACUGCCUACACACACUCUACCAGUCAGGUAACACAGCCACCACAGCAGUAACUGUUCACUGCCUACACACACACUCUGCCAGUCAGGUAACACACCCACCACAGCAGUAACUGUUCACUGCCUACACACACACUCUGCCAGUCAAGUAACACACCCACCACAGCAGUAACUGUUCACUGCCUACACACACACUCUGCCAGUCAGGUAACACAGCCACCACAGCAGUAACUGUUCACUGCCUACACACACACUCUGUCAGUCAGGUAACACAGCCACCACAGCAGUAACUGUUCACUGCCUACACACACACUCUGUCAGUCAGGUAACACAGCCACCACAGCAGUAACUGUUCACUGCCUACACACACACUCUGUCAGUCAAGUAACACAGCCACCACAGCAGUAACUGUUCACUGCCUACACACACACUCUGCCAGUCAGGUAACACAGCCACCACAGCAGUAGCUGUUCACUGCCUACACACACAUUCUGCCAGUCAGGUAACACACCCACCACAGCAGUAACUGUUCACUGCCUACACACACACUCUACCAGUCAGGUAAUACACCCACCACAGCAGUAGCUGUUCACUGCCUACACACACAUUCUGCCAGUCAGGUAACACACCCACCACAACAGUAACUGUUCGCUGCCUACACACACACUCUACCAGUCAGGUAACACACCCACCACAGCAGUAGCUGUUCACUGCCUACACACACAUUCUGCCAGUCAGGUAACACACCCACCACAGCAGUGUGUGUGUUUGUUUGUGUGUGUGACGUCUCCACCAGUGUGUCUGUGUGUGUUUUUGUUUGUGUGUGUGACGCCUCCACCAGUGUGUCUGUGUGUGUUUUUGUUUGUGUGUGUGGCGUCUCCACCAGUGUGUCUGUGUGUGUUUUUGUUUGUGUGUGUGACGUCUCCACCAAUGUGUGUGUGUGUGUGUGUGUGUGUGUGUGUGUGUGUGUGUGUGUGUUUGUUUGUGUGUGUGACGUCUCCACCAAUGUGUGUGUGUGUGUGUGUGUGUGUGUGUGUGUGUGUGUGUGUGUGUGUGUGUGUGACGUCUCCACCAAUGUGUGUGUGUGUGUGUGUGUGUGUGUGUGUGUGUGUGUGUGUGCCAGCAUCCGGUGGUCUCCUGCCUCGCCUGGUCCGCCCCGCCAGCGUUCGUGGGCGGCCUUUACAAGGAUCUGCCUCACCCUCUUCCUGUUGCUGCUUGACGAUUUGUGCCGCAUACUUGUACACGUUUUGCUAACGUAUUCCGUGUGCCUCUGUGAAUUAUAGGAAUAAACAGGUUUUGUUG